rnacentral:tRNA from 1 species
UGGUGUAAUGGUUAGCAUGAGUGACUUAUAAUCGCGACGAUGGUGGUUCGAUUCCGCC